GCGCGCCCGUGUCUCCGGACCGUGCUCUCUCGGGCUCCGUGCUCAUGUGUUUAAAAAUGUAUUAAACCAUAUUAAAAUUGUUUAGUUAAACUUGUGCUUUUGUAACGUUCAGUAUGGCCACAAACACAUGCUGCAUGCCUUGGGGGAAAACUUUAUUUCGAUUUAUAUGCAUUUGUAGAUUUAGAAUAAAACUCAUACUCAGAAAAAACUCGCGAUCCCCUAACCCUAACCCUCCUUAGAAACAUAAGCAGGGAAAACUCCUUAAAAAACCCUCCGCGUUUUCUCCAAAACCCUACAAUAACUUGUUAGGGUACCCCCUCUAUUCCCAAAACCUUAUAUUCGAUAACAGGGGAAAUCCUGAAAAAAUCCUUAGUCUUUUUUUCUCAAAUUCAGCGCCCCGCGGCUCCCUUCAUGCUCAGCCAAACAAAGCCAAAACUCCUUUAAAAAAAAAUUCUCCGCGAUUUCUCCAAAACCCUAGAAUAACUUGUUAGCUACCCCUCUAUUCCCAAAAACCUUAUAUUCGAUAAAAGGGAAAAUCCUUAGUCUUUUUUCUUCAAAAACUUCCCUCUUACUAGCAAGCUCUAAAAUUCAACCCACACUCUAAGUUCUACCUCGCUCUUAAUCUCCGAUCCACAACUUCUUGCAGAGCACAAUUUUUUCCUGCUUGUUCGCUCCCUGCUCUGCUCCCGAAUGCGCUGCUUACCUCGUUUGAAAAUUCCCCCCUUAGACCAACUCCGCCUCACUGCGCCCCGCUGCCAAUCACAUAACCCUUGCACCGCUCCCUUUGCACUCCGGUUAGCCAAUCCGCUCCAGGUCCGAUUUUUAUGAUCUCCCGCUCAGGUUAAGACUACCCCCAAGCUCCCAGAAGACCCCUGCCUUCAGCCAUAUCAACAACUGGAACCGCUCAGACUGCUUGCGAGUUCGCAUAGGGAGCGGCCGAUUUCAACAGCAACUUGCGUCUCUUUCCUUAUCCGCAUAUCAUUCGACCCAGAUGUGUUAACCUGAUCCCUGCGAAACACCAGCUC